CCUGGGAGAUGUGAGAUGCAGAGAGCCAGUGCGCUGAGCUGCAGUGCUUCUCGCUUCAAUAAUUUCUUCGUUCCCAGCUCCCAUCUUCCUGGGAGACCAAGGCACCGAUAAUAGGCCCAAGACUACAGUGCACGACUGCACGGUAGUUGUUUUUUUUUUCCUUUUUUGAGAAAGUUGCUGCACCUGAACUUUGCACGUGUCCCGCGUGAAGAUUUCAUUUAUUAUACUGCUCCUUGGGCCCUAAAUUAUAAGGCCAAGUUUAGUUCCACGCUUAAAAACUGUUCACCCAUCUUAUCAAAUCUUUCGAUACAUGCAUAAAAUAUUAAAUAAAAAUAAAAAAAUUAAUUGCAUAGUUUGGUUGUAAAUUGUGAGACAAAUCUUUUAAACCUAAUUAGGUCAUGAUUAGCCAUAAUUGUUAUAGUAACCAACAUAUGCUAAUGAUGGAUUAAUUAUACUUAAUAAAUUUAUCUUGCAAUUUUCAAACAAGCUAUGUAAUUGGUUGUUGAUUAAUCUACAUUUAAUAUUUUAAAUGUGUGCCGGUAUAUCCAAUGUGAUACCCCAAAAUUUUCUUUUCGCGAACGAAACAAGGCCUAAAUCAUGGAGAGUCAAAAUAUCUUAAGUUUAACCAAAAUUUAUAUAAUAAAAUAAACAUUUGUGAUUCUAAAUAAUUAUUAUUUUUUUUCACGAACUAUAUUUUUAUAGUAUACCUAUUUCAUGACAUAAAUCUUUGUAAUUCUCUUGUAGUUUUGAUCAAAUUUGAAAUACUUUGACUUUUCAAGAAAGAUAAAAUAACUUAUAAUUUAGAAUGAAGGGAGUACAUAGUAAAAUACUCAGUCGACGGUGCUUAAACUCGACUAAUAUGACAGUCUUGGAGGUUUCAUCGGAUAUAUUUAUAUUUAAUAUUGUGACACAUCAAUGUUCGUAAUUACCAACACAGAAGUUGGCAUUGGCGUGGCAAUCAAACUAGCCUAAGGGCACUCCCAAUAUAAAAACCAUCAUAGUUUCUAUAUACAUUAAUUAUAGUGUCACCUAAGCAUUUUACUGAUAUGGCAAGGUAGUUAUUGAAGAGACAGAGCAAAAAUCAUAGCAACUGGGUCUAAGUUAGAAAUCAUAUCUACACGAAAUCCAAGACAUGAAGUGAUAUAAUUGGUUGAGAAUGGAGAGAGAAUGAAUGUGUUGGGUACCAUAAUAAGGGAUACCCAAAUCAGAGCAAUCAAAAAAGCAAAAAAAAAACAUACUAACCACAAUCAUCAGGGUACGGGCCCCAGUGCACCCAACUCGCCCGACCCCUCAGGGCCUCGGACGCAAGUUCCGACUCGCCCGAUCCCUCAGGGCCUCGGACGAAAGUUCCGACUCGCCCGACCCCUCAGGGCCUCGGACGC
rnacentral:lncRNA from 1 species